rnacentral:rRNA from 1 species
UGCCAGCCGCCGCGGUAAUACGUAGGUGGCAAGCGUUGUCCGGGUUUACUGGGCGUAAAGAGCGCGCAGGCGGCCAAGUAAGUCGAAUGUGAAAGCCCCCGGCUCAACUGGAGAAGGUCAUUCGAUACCGCCUGGCUUGAAGAUAGGAGAGGGAAGCGGAAUUUCCGGUGUAGUGGUGAAAUGCGUAGAUAUCGGAAGGAACACCAGUGGCGAAGGCGGCUCCCUGGCCAAAGACUGACGCCAUGUGCGAAGGUGUGGGUAGCGAACAGGAUUAGAUA